CAGUAGCCACGGUAAUACCAGCAGCCCAAGUGGUGGUCGCGAUUAUUGGGCCUAAAGCGCUCGUAGCCGGGCCGGUAAGUCCCUUGUGAAAUCGGACGGCCUAACCGUUCGGCGUGCAAGGGAUACUGUCGGUCUUGAGGCCGGGAGACGUCCGAGGUACUCCGGGGGUAGCGGUGAAAUGUUCUAAUCCUCGGGGGACCACCGGUGGCGAAGGCGUUCGACGAGAACGGGCCUGACGGUGAGGGGCGAAGGCUAGGGGAGCAAACGGGAUUAGAUACCCGCGUAGUCCCUGUCUCUUAUA
rnacentral:rRNA from 1 species